GACGAACGCUGGCGGCGUGCUUAACACAUGCAAGUCGAACGGAAAGGCCCUGCUUUUGUGGGUUGCUCGAGUGGCGAACGGGUGAGUAACACGUGAGUAACCUGCCCUUGACUUUGGGAUAACUUCAGGAAACUGGGGCUAAUACCGGAUAUGAGCUCCUGCUGCAUGGUGGGGGUUGGAAAGUUUCGGCGGUUGGGGAUGGACUCGCGGCUUAUCAGCUUGUUGGUGGGGUAGUGGCUUACCAAGGCUUUGACGGGUAGCCGGCCUGAGAGGGUGACCGGGCACAUUGGGACUGAGAGACGGCCCAGACUCCUACGGGAGGCAGAAGGGGGGAAUAUUGCAGAAUGGGCGGAAGCCUGAGGCAGCAACGCCGCGUGCGGGAUGACGGCCUUCGGGUUGUAAACCGCCUUGGCCGGUGACGAAGCGUGAGUGACGGUAAUGGGUAAAGAAGCACCGGCUAACUACGUG
rnacentral:rRNA from 1 species